rnacentral:rRNA from 1 species
AUACGGAGGGUGCAAGCGUUAAUCGGAAUUACUGGGCGUAAAGCGCGCGUAGGCGGCUGAUUAAGUCGGAUGUGAAAUCCCUGGGCUCAACCUAGGAACUGCAUCCGAUACUGGUCAGCUAGAGUUUUGGAGAGGUAAGUGGAAUUUCCGGUGUAGCGGUGAAAUGCAUAGAGAUCGGAAGGAACACCAGUGGCGAAGGCGACUUACUGGCCAAAAACUGACGCUGAGGUGCGAAAGCGUGGGUAGCGAACAGGAUUAGAUACCCGAGUAGUCC